UUCGACCCUCACUUAGAAAACCUGUCAAUGCACGAAUGAAUAGUUUUUACAUUUACGAAAUCGAUUUCGUUUUUGUCAGUACAAUUAAUACCACUUCGUCUAAUUUCUACGCGACGCGAAAAGGUCGCGAUCAGGUCGCGGAAUAAUUCACGAAUUAACGCAGAGAACGAAAACGAGCGUCGAGUAGUCGCGAGGAACGAUAUUCGACGGAAGUUUGCAUCUAACGGGGAACGCGGAAUCGAGAGGGAACAAAUUGCCGCGACAACGAGAAAUUUAUAGAGAUAAACUUCCCCUUCGAUGCUGAAGUUUGAACCGAGUUAGCACCGCGACGUGUGCGGGAAACUGAUAAGCUCCCGCAGCACCGAAAGAGACGAUGAUCUAUCUGGCUUCUAAAUUCACGCGUGACGUUGGGCAGUGAUUGCUGUUAACCCCUUGACGCGCCAAACACCAGGAACACGGUUGAUGUCGAGUUUUGAGCUAGCAGCUAAUAGAGGUAUAUGCUAAACCUAAAAUAUGUCAGUAUCUUGAAACACACAAUGGAAGAAUCCAUACAGUCGUGGUUCGGUUUUCGUAAGUUCGAGUCAGGGCCUCUAGCAGGACGCCAAGGGGUUAAUCGUUGCUCGCAAUUGUCGGAUCAAAUGGUAAUUGUACGCUACAUUCGUAAUUCGCAAUGGUGAAUCGGUUGUUCGCGAUCAUUCAGAACGAAACGCUCAUCGUAGAACACGCAUACCCGGAAUGGAUCGCAACGCGCGGCUCUAGGACUCUGUACGCGAUUAAAUGGUUCGCCUAACGCGGCGGGCUUCCUUUAGAAAUUUGCUGGUGAUUGUAUCGUUAACGAAUUGGAUCAUCGACAAACGGUCAACGCGCGCUCGUUCGUACUUUAGGGAUAGGAAAGAAAGAAAACGAAGCCAAGAAGGUAUACGUCGCGACGUACGAAUACGUAUAAAAAUAGAAAGAAGAUUGGGUAUAUGUAUAUCUUUAGAUGAGCGGCAAUACGAGUGCACGUUCGGUAUAGUUGGCAGGCUGAGUUAGGAAAGGCACAAAUUCGAGUGCUAACAUCUAAGUGGAUAAGGCGCCUUCCUGCAUCGUCAGGAAGACAUUCGUAUUCUCGAAUCGUUGCGAUCGCACGAUUAAGAGAGACAGACCUGUUCGGAAUCGCCCGAAUAUUCCGAGACAGAGAUGGGCAAAAUUUUAUUCGAAUAGGUAAACGACAUGCCUGAACGUUGCACAAACGAGCAUAGGACCUUGUAUUCAUUCGAUGUGAACCAUGAAGUUGUUCGUGUACCGUUGGGGAAUCUUGGGUACCUUCGUGGACUCGAGAGACUCCAAUCGACGAAAAGAAUUCGUGUUGAAACAAUUCUCAGUGCAAAGGGGCUAAUAAAUUAAUUCCGCGAUUCAGUAUAUAUACUGAACGAAUCACAGAUCAAAUGUUCGUGUGAAAUUAUAUAUAUAGAUGGGAAUUCUGCCCACCUCUGGCGUUCGUAAAUCGCAGGAAGAUCUCGCUGCGCGUGUCCUUUGACCUCUGACCAAAGAGAUUACAUAAAUAGAGUAGGAUAGCCGAGUGUAACGCGAAUAGCAAGAGAAGAAAGAUCGAGUGCACGUUUGUACCCUAACGAUGGAUGCACAGAUACAUUAAGAAACAUUGGUAGAAGAACAUACGAAUUGAGGAGAAGUGCCACCCCAAUAAACUCUUUGGUCAGCAUCAAAUGCCCCUUGAUUCCUACAACCUCUCCCAUCAAGUCUUAAGAUUCUGGACACGCAAACUUAGAAACAGAGUAACGUCUCUUUCUUCCUCUUACAGAAGCUUCUACGAGUCCUGUGACUCCUCUGCUCUAUCUAAAUCACCUCUUUUCAGCGCCUUCGUGUCACUGUAGGGAUGCACGUACGUCGUUGGGAUAUAGUUUCGUUCGUUCGCGAAACCAACAACGGUAUUAUCGGACCUUACACCUCGGCGACACGCCACAGAAUAACGGAGCCAAAGGUCGUUUCUCUUAUCUUUUUUCUCGUCUCCAAACGCACGUCCCGCGAACGAUCCGGUUGAGCGUCGGAGGGCGGACAUUUUCGACGCGCGAUUCCUUCGACAAAUGCGAUUAGGCGUGCGUGUUGGGGAGCGCAUUAGGUCCCGGCAGCAUACAUUUGGUCGCAUGUUAAGUUUCGCGCGUCUCUAUGGCCGUUUGCUUGUCGGAACCCGAGCGAAGCCAAGUUUUAAUCGGUUCACGUCCUGUAGCAUAGAAUAACACACACAACCGGUAUAAAUUAAUGUGAGAUUGGAAUUAAGCGAUGCACCAAUGGCUAUGCUGUGUCUUUUUUUCGGGAGUUGACAGAGAGAGAGAGAGAGACAGAGACAGAGAGAGAGAGAGUGUGUGAGAGAAAGAGAGAGAGAAAAAAGAUUUUUUUCUUUUCGGUUUAAUCCGCCCUGUAUCGACGAUGAGUACAGUGACCAUAUCGUGAAAGUACACAACGUGUUUUUUUUUCCUUUUUCUUGUUUUUCUUUUUUGUUGCAAUUGUGAACACGGGUUUACUCUCGUUAUUCUGUGGCCUUGCGUCCUCGGUUCCCAUUUAUUUGUUUAUCUUUCUUUUUUUUUUUUUUUUUUUCGUUACUUGUAUACCGUUCCGCUUGUUCUCUCUACGCGUCCAACGCAAUCACGCGUCUCGUCGCUUGUACGAUUACCGUAAUGCGGCAAGAUCAAAGUCCCAAUGUUAAAAUAGAUAUACGUGUACGUAUAUAGAGUAGGUAAUAAAAAUCAAGGAUAUGCCUCGCUACAGUCAAGUCAAAAAAGGGAUGCACAAUGAGUAUGCGAGGUGGCCCGAACUCAGCCAAGCAGUAAUCACUUUCGUCGAUGGAUCCGUAGGGCUCUUAUUGUUAACGAUUAAUUAUCGAGCGUUUCAACGUUAAGAGAUCAUCGCACGACGGAGAACGUAUGGGAUUACGGAACGGAGAUGGGCGAAAUUAUAGAUGAAUGUCUCGAGUGAAAGAUUCAACGAGAUGCAGUCUCUGUUGCAACCAUUUCCGCUAGCCGAAUAAUUAUAUAAUAUAUGUAUGUUUGAUAUUGAGGCAAGAGGGGAAAAAUAACUAUUUUUCUGAGAUAUAAAUGAUAGAAAAGUAGAGCUUGGAUACUUGUUCAAUUAAAUUGCUAUGUCGAAACAAUUACGAUAGCAUGAAAGCACGUGGGUAAUUUUGUUAAAUAUCCAAAGUAGUGGUUAUGGCAUAUUAGAGAAUGGUAUUCAGACACCACAACCUUCCCUUAGGACAUUUAAAAUACUAGCCACGUGGUUUCAUCUUUCUGCCCCUUGGUUUCAAUCAAUUGCGUCAAUUCUUGUAUGUUAAUCCUACAUAUACAACUGGUCCCUUAAGAGGACAUUAAAUGCUUCCAACAGACUAUGCUUCUCUCUCGCAUGGGAUUUGCGAUCCUACGAGCAAUCAUCUACGGAAUAAAAGGCAAACUCUGGUCGAAUAAAAAUUAGGAUUCCAAUCGUGACACGUUACACCUCGCGUUGCGCGAACGAAAAGAUUUACUCGAGUAAAUAAACGAACGAAUAAAAGCAUCGUCGGUGAAUCGCUGUUGCGAUUUUAUUCGUCGUUUCGAAUGUAAUUUUGCCCAUCUCUGUGGAACAUGAAUGAGCGAAAAUGUACGUUAUUUUCUACGUCUUCUUCGACAACGAAUCGUACUCCUGUAGGACAGAGACCAUACAACGUUUCUUUUCCUUUUUAUUUUAUCUACGAUGAAACGAACUAAAAGGGGUUUACAAGGCUAGGGGUGAGGGGGUUUGGGAGGCAAUAUGAAACCCUUCGAGCAAACGUUCGCUGGACAAACAAAGUACAGAAGAAGAUGAAGUAAAAAAAAAAAAAAAAAAAUAAUGG